UGUUGAAUUCAAUGAGGGAUGCUAAUAGUGCUGCCCCUGCUUUUGCAUUGGUGAAGUGUAUGUUCAAAAACAGAUAUUUCAUCCCUUUUAAUCUGUGGGGUGAUGUUCUUGUGGAGAUUUGUAGGAAAAAUGGUAACUUUGGUGGGUUUUUACAAGUUUUUAAUGAGAAUUGUAGGCUUGCUAUUGAUGAGAAGUUGAAUUUCUUGAAACCUAGUUUGGAAG
rnacentral:misc_RNA from 1 species